rnacentral:rRNA from 1 species
CAUGCCGCGUGAGUGAAGAAGGCCUCGGUUGUAAGACUCUUUCAGCCGGAAAGAAAAGCGCAUGGGUGAAUAACCUGUGUGGAUGACGGUACCGGAAGAAGAAGCACCGGCUAACUACGUGCCAGCAGCCGCGGUAAUACGUAGGGUGCGAGCGUUAAUCGGAAUUACUGGGCGUAAAAGCGUGCGCAGGCGGUUUUGUAAGACAGAUGUGAAAUCCCCGGGCUUAACCUGGGAACUGCAUUUUGUGACUGCAAGGCUAGAGUACGGCAGAGGGGGGUAGAAUUCCACGUGUAGCAGUGAAAUGCGUAGAUAUGUGGAGGAAUACCGAUGGCGAAGGCAGCCCCCUGGGUCGAUACUGACGCUCAUGCACGAAAGCGUGGGGAGCAAACAGGGAUUAGAUACCCUGGCAGUCCACGCCCUAAACGAUGUCAACUAGGUGUUGGGGGGGGAGACUUCCUUAGUACCGCAGCUAACGCGUGAAGUUGA